CAAGAGAGAGGAUCUUGUUGAUCUAACAAAUAUCGAAACUCCAUCUCAGAUAUUUGGCAUUUCUGCUGAAGAUUUAGACUCAGUGCUGGAGGAAAUCUGUACCAACUCAGAUAAUGAUGUGGACCAACCUGGAGUGGUUCAAGAUAUUUCCCCAUCAUCAGGC